CCUACGGGGGGCAGCAGUGGGGAAUAUUGGGCAAUGGGCGCAAGCCUGACCCAGCAACGCCGCGUGAAGGAAGAAGGCUUUAGGGUUGUAAACUUCUUUUAAGAGGGAAGAGCAGAAGACGGUACCUCUUGAAUAAGCCACGGCUAACUACGUGCCAGCAGCCGGGGUAAUACGUAGGUGGCAAGCGUUGUCCGGAUUUACUGGGUGUAAAGGGCGUGCAGCCGGGAAGACAAGUCAGAUGUGAAAUCCCGGGGCUCAACCGCGGAACUGCAUUUGAAACUGUUUUUCUUGAGUACCGGAGAGGUCAGCGGAAUUCCUUGUGUAGCGGUGAAAUGCGUAGAUAUAAGGAAGAACACCAGUGGCGAAGGCGGAUGACUGGACGGCAACUGACGGUGAGGCGCGAAAGCGUGGGGAGCAAACAGGAUUAGAUACCCUUGUAGUC
rnacentral:rRNA from 1 species